rnacentral:lncRNA from 1 species
GGCUCGAGAGAGGGUUUCAGAACAGGGUGAGAGAGUGAGACGACUACCGACACCCCCUAAACGCACUUUCAACCCCUGACUAUUUUGAAAUAAAAUGGAACAACAAAUACGUGGAGUAUUCAACAACCAAAAGAAACAUAUACCUCGGCAGGAGAAACUACAAGAUUUUUCCAAGAGACAAACAAAUAAAAAAAAAAUUAAAAAAUAAAAAA